UUGCCAAACAAGCAUUUAUCCAGAAGGGUUUGACCCUUGAAGGAGAAGUUGCCGUUUUUUGGGAAUUGCACACCCCUCUUGAGUCUUAAGAAUGACGACACCACAGCUUUAUAUAUGAAUCCCGUGGCACACCUUCUCGAGACUGAAUUUCUUUCUUCAUUUUCUCCCUGUCUCUUUCCCAGGCUCCGUUAUUGAAGAGUUUUUGAGGUUCAAGUAGGUCUAAUAAGGAGCACGCUCUCGUUCAUGUUUGGCACACGGAUCUACAUAACCCAAAACCACAACGUGCCUCACAUAAUAAAGCUUGCUGAAUCUGGCCUUUCCAUGGCCUAACACAUUGAAGAAACCUACGGCAAACCCAGCGAGAAGAAAGACAAGACUCUUCUGAUUGAUUGAUCCAUCACCAUAGGUCCGGCUCCCACCUUACGAUCCCAUCUGGAGAAACUCUAUUCUUAAUUAUAUGCCGAUCUAGGUGAAUUGUCUGCAAAACGGGGAGCUUCUGUUUCUAUGUAAACGCCUGUAAGUUUUUUCUCUUUCCUUCCCGGUUUCAUGCGAGUAAUUGGCUUUUAUGUUUGGUUUUGAUUGAAGAGUAGAUUGGUCCUUUCAUUCGUUUAAGCAAAAUAUGUGCUUCAACUCUUGUACUACAACUCAAGAUUGCAGAGGCUGAAAGUUUAUCAUUCGAUAUCUGGCCUCCAAUAUAGCUCGAUCUGUUGUUUCCCCAUACUGCAGCCAUGCCAUAAAUUCAUAUCGCCUUACCAGGACAUUUCAUGUCUCGAAUUAGUGUCGGUGACUUGGGAAAACCGACAGCCCUUACCGUGGGAUUAAUAAUAAAUUGCAUCGAGCAGGUUGUAAGAACCACAGAAAUACACGCAAUAAAAAAAAAAUUGAAGAAUCAGAGAUGGAAAGGAAAGAACGUACAUUUUCGGGUUCAGGAAGAAGACUGGUGCGGUAGUUGAUGGGCUAAGCUUCGGUAAGAAAAAUCAAUCCAUUCAUUGCAAGAGAAAGGGCAGUCACUAAUUAGACUACAAAUCAACCCAUUCACAAGAUAUCUUAAGUUGCUAUUAGACAGUCUAACCACCACCUAAAUCAACUAAGUUCUAUCUCAAACAUUUGACAAAUCAAUAAUCAAAAGUACCAACAAUGCAUCAGACUAUGAUUUUACAAACUACGUGAGGAAGUCACUACAAAGUUUCAAAACCUUUGGGAAGGCUGCACACUCUGUUGGCAACCCAAACUAAUCUCAGUCACUUGGAUGUCCUUGUGUUCACUUGAAGAUAUAGCCAACCAAGAUGCCAAACAAACCAACCAGAAAUACAACCAAUAAAGAGAAACCCCCGGCAUGUUUUUUGCUAAUUUGUUUUCUCAUCAGUUCCUGUUGCAGGAAAUCACACACAACAGCAAGAUAGGUGAGCACUAACAGUAAAAAAGAUCAUUGAAUAACUAGAGGCAUUUCACUGACAAGAAACUUGACCAGAAGGAAUUCAUGUAGGCAAAAGAAGAUAUACAACAACAAACUAUCCUUCCUACUAUACCAUAUGGCAUCUCAUUCAUUGACACAAGAUAAGAAUUUCACAUCAUCAACUUCAAGUACCAAAAGCGUGUAGUGCAUUUCAAUGGAAAUCCCAAUCCCAAAAAAGCACAACAUCAAACUUGUCCAAACUCCCCUCAACCAAUUAUCUAGCCUAAACAAUGACAUUAAUAUUUAACUCAUACCAGUUCAUGCUGAAGCUUCUGAUUUUGCUGCAGGGCAGAAGUUUUCUCCUCAGUCAACCUUGAAAUCAGAGACCACGUCUGAAAUUCAAACAUAGGUCAGAAAAUUGUGACCCAGAAUUGCAAAAACAAAGGUGUAGCAUAAAGCAAAAUACUUUCAAGUGGCAGCAUUUAGCUUUAAGAAAAUGUUGAUCUAUGGAAGCUCUAAUGGUGAUUAAUCCUUGACAACCUUAAUACAGAAAAGCAAUAGUAUUACAAGGCAAACCUCUUAAUUAUGAACUUAUGAACUCUCGUAAAAGUAAGCUCUAAAAGAGAGUACAAUGAAAAUUUUAUCUGACAUGGUUGCCCAAACAUGGUCAGAUUUCUACUCACAGGAAUUUUAACAUGAUUUGUCCAGAAAUCGAGCAAUUAAUAUACAGUUCCUAGAGGCAUAUGGCUAGAUAUUUCAAAUGCCGCACAUGUACCCUGCCAACAGCCCUCAAAGCAAAUGCCUUUCCCGCCAAAAACAGAAAACAAAAGAAUGAAAAGACACAUAGCUUCACAGUCUCAGCAUAAUCCUUAUAUUAAAAUUGCAGUGCCACACUAAAUUCCUCAAUAUCCAAUACAGCAGAGCAUUCACAACAUACUAGCGUAUUCUUAAGAGGAUUUUCAAAAUAAAAAGAGAACGGUAAAUAUAAAAUUAAAGCAGUCAUUAGUUUUUUGCAAGAAGUAACAAUGUAAGAGCUGAACAUCUUAUACCAGUGAGGACUAUAGUUUAUAGAAUCACUAUGAACUUGUGUAUUUCAGAUUUCAUGCAAUGAAAUUCAAAUCUUACUAUGAAAAUAACAUAUUUGUCAUUAAGUAAACAAGGACCAUUAGAUUAAAUUUUUUAGAUCAAAGUCAUUCAAUUUAAGAAAAAACAUGGUAAAAAGAUAAUUUACCUCAAAAGAUUUCUCUUUAGGUUCCUCCAAAGUUCUGGAUACCUAGAAAACAACCACAAACAAAUUAAAGAUAUCAUAGCUUCCUGAACACAAAUAAGCACAUUUGCAUACACUAAAAGCAAAAAGAGGAAAGAAGAUCUCAAAACUGGAAAAAAAAAAGAUAUACUUACAGCAUCAAGUAAUGAACUAUCCUGGUUACCAUUCUCAAGCACAGAAGGCCUAGGGGGAGAAGAUCCUUCAUCAGACUCUUCUGGGACAGGAGAGGGAGGAUUUGCAGGGAUAUAUACAACCCUCAAUUUGAACUCCUCCACAACCUUAUCACCCUCCUUAUUAAACUGCAAAACAAAAUACUCCAUCCUUAAUUCUACAUCAAGAAAACAUAACCCCCAAUCUUUAAACAGAAAUAAAUGAUAGAAGAAACAAAGAAGCCACCCCACCAAUUCAGAAGUUAUCCCUUUUGUAGUUGUACCAUCAGGCGCAACAACACUCUGAAGUAGGAACUUGUCCUUGCAUUGCAUAUCUGAUGGUGCCUCUUUUUGAGCUUGCAUGGUAACUAGCACAAUCCAUACACGAAUAGUUGAAAACUCUUAAAACCAUAAUAUACUAAAAAAUAUGCCUAACAUGCGCACUUAAAACAAAUCGGAAAAAGCCAUGUACUUAAGGAAAACUACCGUAAUUUACCCAAGACACUAUCAUUGGGUAUAGUAUUAUCAGCCAAAAUGCAUUACCAGCUAAUGAUUUGAAUUUCAGAAAUCCCAACAAAAAGCGAUUUAGAAAUUUUUAUCAUCUAUUGAUUACGAAGUAUUCACCUGUAACGCUGCAAGUGGAUCCGGGCAUGACAAUGCCGCUGUUGGGACGAACGCAGUAUUUCCUCGGAUUGGUUGUUUUAACCUAAAACUCAACAAACCCAUCAAGAUUACAUUUUCACAUAACAGUUAUUAUUUACUAAUAACAUCAAUAAGGGAAAAAUUGGGGAAAAAAUACCUUAAAAGCCACAUAUUUAUCUGACUUGUUAGUUAAUUGCAUAGAACAUGAACUCUGCUUCUUCAAUUCAACUUUAUCAAUAAAAAAAAGACUAUUAAUCCCAACAAUUAAACUAGAGUUUUAGAUCUAUAAUAAUGCACCGAAAACUAAUUUCAGAUUUUGAUUUUCCUUUACCAUGAUUUUCUCAGCAACCAAACAGAAAUUUACGAGAGCACAGUGUGACUAACAAUUUGGCUCCUAGUUAGGAGUAAGGAUCAUUCUUAUGUAACUUCGAAACAAAAUCAUGAAAUUCAGAUAUUUUCUUUUGUUUUCCUAAUUUUCUCGGAAACCAAACAUGAAAAGGAAAAGGAAGAAAGGAACUUACAUGGGAAUUUAAGCUCUAUUGGGUGAAUAUUAAGAAGAUCUCCAGUGCUCAUGAUUGAUUUUUUAAAAAAAAAUCAAUCCGUGAAAAUAAAAAUUUGUUUCAAUUUUUUUUUUCUUUGUGAGAUUUUUUUUUUAACCUGAUCUAACGAGGAAGGAAAGAGAGAUAGUGGGAGAAAGAAACAAAAUUUAAAAAAAUAUAUAAUUACUGUUUUGAGAUUUGGUAGGGGAGUAAACGACGAUGACUGUAAUUUGGGUGACAGGUGUGAGCCGUUCGAUCUAAAGGAAAUGUUGUGAGAGUAUUGAAUUUGAGUGGGAUUGUUAUCUUCGCAAUGUCAACAGCAAGUGACGUUUAAGAAGAGGAAUUGAGUGUGUGUGGUAUUGCGGUAGCUGUUGUGGUUGUGGUUUGAAAAAAAUUGUUUUAUAAAAAGUAUUUUUAGUUGAGGUUGAUUUGAAAAAUAGAUGUUUGGUUAAAAAUAUAGUUGAAAUUGAGGUUGAACAAAAAGUAGUUUAAUGUGUUUAGUUAAAAAUACUUUUCAAAUUGAGGUUAUAAAAUAAUUAAUAUAUAUAUAUAUAUAUAUAUAUAUAUAUAUAUAUUGAUGGUUUUAAAUUUAAUUAUUGUAGAUUUAACUACUGCUAUUACAUCAUGAAAUAAAUAAUACUUAUAUCAAAUAUUUUUUAUUAUUCCAUUAAACUAUUUAUAAUUUUAUCACGUUUAAUAAAAACUAUAAUUUUCUUGAUUUUUAAAAAUCGCAAUAAUAUUAAAUAAAAUAUCAUAGAAAUAAAAUUAGAAUUUCAAGACAUUGUUAACGACCCGUGAAUUAAUUCAACUGUGCCAAGUGAAUUAACAUUCAAUGUCCCCAUUUUCUCUGUCUUGAAGCCAUUUAACUUCACCUUUGAUAAAUUAUCUUUUGAUAUCUUACCCAACUCCAUCUCUUUCCUUGUACAUAGCAAGAAAAACAGAGCAGGUCCAUGGCCGGUAACAAUUUUGCAACCAUGCUGAACAUAAACACCAAC
rnacentral:lncRNA from 1 species